rnacentral:rRNA from 1 species
GUGGGGAAUUUUGGACAAUGGGCGCAAGCCUGAUCCAGCAAUGCCGCGUGCAGGAAGAAGGCCUUCGGGUUGUAAACUGCUUUUGUACGGAACGAAACGGUCUGGGUUAAUACCCUGGGCUAAUGACGGUACCGUAAGAAUAAGCACCGGCUAACUACGUGCCAGCAGCCGCGGUAAUACGUAGGGUGCGAGCGUUAAUCGGAAUUACUGGGCGUAAAGCGUGCGCAGGCGGUUUUGUAAGACAGGCGUGAAAUCCCCGGGCUCAACCUGGGAAUGGCGCUUGUGACUGCAAAGCUGGAGUGCGGCAGAGGGGGAUGGAAUUCCGCGUGUAGCAGUGAAAUGCGUAGAUAUGCGGAGGAACACCGAUGGCGAAGGCAAUCCCCUGGGCCUGCACUGACGCUCAUGCACGAAAGCGUGGGGAGCAAACAGGAUUAGAAACCCCGGUAGUCC